AUGUCCAGAUGUCUCCCGGUCUCUUCCUUCAUUUCCUCUGCGCUUGCACAGCCCUCCCUCGGGUUCGUGAUACUACGUGUGUGCCCUUGCCCCACUAGCCCGAAGCUUCACGAAGACAAGGACCGGGCCUGCUGCGGGCAGCUCUGUCAUCAACCCCUCGAGGCAAGCACCCAGCUCCGUUCCUCGGGACCCCUGAUGCAUCAGAACUCCGUGGUGUUAUCAUUUCCUCUUUGCAGGGACCCAGAGCGGUUGCUGGCCGACUCCCACUCCCAUCGGGGUCUCUGCACGGUUGCCGAGGGCCUGGUGAGCCUCUAAGACUCCAGGGCAUGGAGUCGCCACCCGGUGGCGCAGCGGUUUAGCGCCGUCUUCAGCCCAGGGUGUGAUCCUGGAGACCCGGGAUCGAGUCCCACAUCGGGCUCCCUGCCUGGAGCCUGCUUCUCCCUCUGCCUGGGUCUCUGCCCCCGCCCCAUCUAUCUAUCUCUAUCUCUAUCUCUAUCUCUAUCUCUAUCUCUAUCAUCUCUAUCUCUAUCUCUCAUGAAUAAAUAAAUAAAAUUUUUUAAAAAAAAGGACUCCAGGGCAUGAAUCUCAGAAUGGAAUUCCACAGCGUGUGACACACACUGGGAGACACCCCUGGGGGCGGAUGGUGGUAACUUGAGAGCCUGCGGGCAGACAAGGAGUCCCCCGGUCUUUCUUCGGGUCUCUGAGGACUGCUCGGAACAGGACGCCAAGAGGCAGCUGCCUGGAGGUGACCACGAGGACCUAGUGUGUGUCUCCACUGUGCAGCCUCCGCGAUCUCACGUCAGCUGGGCUCCACCCUGGGCCUUUGUCCCUCUGAAUGUCCAACGCCUCAUCCUUAAAGUACAGAUCGUAGUAUGAACCUCACAGAGCCCUGUGAGGAUCCCGUGGGAUGAGGCACUGGUUGGAACGUUCUGGAUGAACUCUGGUGACAUGUCUGAGCCACACAAGCGCCGUUGAUGGAGCCCCAGCUUCUGUUAGGACCACCUGGCCCUGCACCUCCCCGCCCCCCUUUGGUGUCCCC
rnacentral:lncRNA from 1 species